rnacentral:rRNA from 1 species
AGUAGGGGAAUUUUCGGCAAUGGGCGCAAGCCUGACCGAGCAACGCCGCGUGAGUGAAGAAGGCCUUCGGGUUGUAAAGCUCUGUUGUAAAGGAAGAACAGCUUAGAUAGAAUCUAAGUGUGACGGUACUUUACCAGAAAGCCACGGCUAACUACGUGCCAGCAGCCGCGGUAAUACGUAGGUGGCAAGCGUUAUCCGGAAUUAUUGGGCGUAAAGGGUGCGCAGGCGGUUUGAUAAGUUUAAGGUGAAAGCGUGGGGCUCAACCCCAUACAGCCUUAGAAACUGUUAGACUAGAGUACAGAAGAGGGUAGUGGAAUUCCAUGUGUAGCGGUAAAAUGCGUAGAUAUAUGGAGGAACACCAGUGGCGAAGGCGGCUACCUGGUCUGUAACUGACGCUCAAGCACGAAAGCGUGGGGAGCAAAUAGGAUUAGAUACCCUAGUAGUCCACGCCGUAAACGAUGGAUACUAAGUGUUGGGGAAACUCAGUGCUGCAGCUAACGCAAUAAGUAUCCCGCCUGGGGAGUAUGCACGCAA